UACGGAGGGUUCAAGCGUUAAUCGGAAUUACUGGGCGUAAAGCGCGCGUAGGCGGUUGGGUAAGUCAGAUGUGAAAGCCCCGGGCUCAACCUGGGAACUGCAUUUGAUACUGCCCGACUUGAGUAUGGUAGAGGGGGGUGGAAUUCCCGGAGUAGCGGUGAAAUGCGUAGAUAUCGGGAGGAACACCAGUGGCGAAGGCGGCCCCCUGGACCUAUACUGACGCUGAGGUGCGAAAGCGUGGGGAGCAAACAGG
rnacentral:rRNA from 1 species